CCAGAUGGUCGGAUGGCCGCCUUCCGGAAUUCCGGGGGGAGGAAAGUCCGGGCUCCACGGAAACACGGUGCCGGAUAACGUCCGGCGGGGGCGACCCUAGGGAAAGUGCCACAGAAAGCAAACCGCCCGCGCCCAAUCGGCCGCGGGUAAGGGUGAAAGGGUGCGGUAAGAGCGCACCGCGCGUCCGGCAACGGAAGCGGCAUGGUAAACCCCACCGGGAGCAAGACCAAGUAGGGGCGGCCCGCAUCCUUCGGGAUCGCGAGACGCGUUUUCGCGUCGCCGCCCGGGUCGGUCGCGCGAGGCGUCCGGCAACGGACGUCCCAGAUGAAUGGCCAUCAUCCGCCCCUGCGGCGGAUACAGAACCCGGCUUACAGACCAUCUGGCGCA
rnacentral:RNase_P_RNA from 1 species